CGGGCCGCACAAGCGGUGGAGCAUGUGGUUUAAUUCGACGCAACGCGAAGAACCUUACCUGGGCUUGACAUCCCGAUCGCACCUUAUGGAAACAGUAGGGGUCAGUUCGGCUGGAUCGGUGACAGGGUGCUGCAUGGCUGUCGUCAGCUCGUGUCGUGAGAUGUUGGGUUAAGUCCCGCAACGAGCGCAACCCUUGUCCUUAGUUGCCAGCAUUCAGUUGGGCACUCUAAGGAGACUGCCGGUGUCAAACCGGAGGAAGGUGGGGAUGACGUCAAGUCCUCAUGGCCCUUAUGUCCAGGGCUACACACGUGCUACAAUGGCCGGUACAAAGGGGCGCAAGACCGCGAGGUGGAGCAAAUCCCAAAAAACCGGUCUCAGUUCGGAUUGGAGUCUGCAACUCGACUCCAUGAAGUUGGAAUCGCUAGUAAUCGCGGAUCAGCACGCCGCGGUGAAUACGUUCCCGGGCCUU
rnacentral:rRNA from 1 species